AAGAAACUUAGGAUUACCCAAACCGAAGGCCUUCAAAGCCUUAGACAAGAGUUAA
rnacentral:tRNA from 1 species